UACGUAGGGUGCGAGCGUUAAUCGGAAUUACUGGGCGUAAAGCGUGCGCAGGCGGUCUGUUAAGACCGAUGUGAAAUCCCCCGGGCUUAACCUGGGGAACUGCAUUGGUGACUGGCAGGCUUUGAGUGUGGCAGAGGGAGGUAGAAUUCCACGUGUAGCAGUGAAAUGCGUAGAGAUGUGGAGGAAUACCGAUGGCGAAGGCAGCCUCCUGGGCCAACACUGACGCUCAUGCACGAAAGCGUGGGGAGCAAACAGG
rnacentral:rRNA from 1 species